rnacentral:rRNA from 1 species
UGGGGAAUAUUGCACAAUGGGCGCAAGCCUGAUGCAGCCAUGCCGCGUGUAUGAAGAAGGCCUUCGGGUUGUAAAGUACUUUCAGUCGGGAGGAAGGUGGUAAGGUUAAUAACCUUAUCAAUUGACGUUACCGACAGAAGAAGCAUCGGCUAACUCCGUGCCAGCAGCCGCGGUAAUACGGAGGGUGCAAGCGUUAUUCGGAAUUACUGGGCGUAAAGCGCACGCAGGCGGUUGAUUGAGUCAGAUGUGAAAUCCCCGGGCUUAACCCGGGAAUUGCAUCUGAUACUGGUCAGCUAGAGUCGUGUAGAGGGGGGUAGAAUUCCAUGUGUAGCGGUGAAAUGCGUAGUGAUGUGGAGGAAUACCGGUGGCGAAGGCGGCCCCCUGGACAAAGACUGACGCUCAGGUGCGAAAGAGUGGGGAGCAAACAGG